rnacentral:rRNA from 1 species
CAGCCGCCGCGGUAAUACGAAGGGUGCAAGCGUUACUCGGAAUUACUGGGCGUAAAGCGUGCGUAGGUGGUGGUUUAAGUCCGUUGUGAAAGCCCUGGGCUCAACCUGGGAAUUGCAGUGGAUACUGGGUCACUAGAGUGUGGUAGAGGAUAGUGGAAUUUCCGGUGUAGCAGUGAAAUGCGUAGAGAUCGGAAGGAACAUCUGUGGCGAAGGCGACUAUCUGGGCCAACACUGACACUGAGGCACGAAAGCGUGGGGAGCAAACAGGAUUAGAUACCCGUGUAGUCCCUGUCUCUAUACA